UGUUAAAAUUUUAUCCAUUUCUACUGAUAAAAAUUGGCAUGACUGAUGAAAUAAUCGAACAGUUACACAUGUUGUGUCUCGUGUACCUUAUUUUGUUUUUAACAAUAAAAAUGGUGAAAUUUUAAUA
rnacentral:pre_miRNA from 1 species